rnacentral:rRNA from 1 species
GACGAACGCUGGCGGCGUGCUUAACACAUGCAAGUCGAACGAAGAGCGAUGGAAGCUUGCUUCUAUCAAUCUUAGUGGCGAACGGGUGAGUAACGCGUAAUCAACCUGCCCUUCAGAGGGGGACAACAGUUGGAAACGACUGCUAAUACCGCAUACGAUCUAACCUCGGCAUCGAGGAUGGAUGAAAGGUGGACUCUAUUUAUAAGCUAUCACUGAAGGAGGGGAUUGCGUCUGAUUAGCUAGUUGGAGGGGUAACGGCCCACCAAGGCGAUGAUAAGUAGCCGGUCUGAGAGGAUGAACGGCCACAUUGGGACUGAGACACGGCCCAGACUCCUACGGGAGGCAGCAGUGGGGAAUCUUCCGCAAUGGACGAAAGUCUGACGGAGCAACGCCGCGUGAGUGAUGACGGCCUUCGGGUUGUAAAGCUCUGUUAAUCGGGACGAAAGGCCUUCUUGCGAAUAGUUAGAAGGAUUGACGGUACCGGAAUAGAAAGCCACGGCUAACUACGUG